UAUACUGACCUUGCUCCCGGUGUCUGCUCGUUCAGCAGACGAAGAGGGAAUCCGGUGAGAAUCCGGAACUGCCCCGCAGCGGUGACAGGAACGAACGCUCCGAACAUGCACUGGUUCAGCCAUGAACCGGGAAGCUGGAGCAAGUAGGCAGCCUGCAAGUCCGAAGACCUGCCGAGAGUCGUGUUCAGAU
rnacentral:ncRNA from 2 species